UGGGGAAUAUUGCACAAUGGAGGGAACUCUGAUGCAGCGACGCCGCGUGAACGAAGAAGGCUUUCGAGUCGUAAAGUUCUUUUAUAUGGGAAGAUAAUGACGGUACCACAAGAAAAAGCCCCGGCUAACUACGUGCCAGCAGCCGCGGUAAUACGUAGGGGGCUAGCGUUGUCCGGAAUCACUGGGCGUAAAGGGUUCGCAGGCGGAAAUGCAAGUCAGGUGUAAAAGGCAGUAGCUUAACUACUGUAAGCAUUUGAAACUGCAUAUCUUGAGAAGAGUAGAGGUAAGUGGAAUUUUUAGUGUAGCGGUGAAAUGCGUAGAUAUUAAAAAGAAUACCGGUGGCGAAGGCGACUUACUGGGCUCAUUCUGACGCUGAGGAACGAAAGCGUGGGUAGCAAACAGG
rnacentral:rRNA from 3 species